rnacentral:rRNA from 3 species
AAAUUGAAGAGUUUGAUCAUGGCUCAGAUUGAACGCUGGCGGCAGGCCUAACACAUGCAAGUCGAACGGUAGCACAGAGAGCUUGCUCUCGGGUGACGAGUGGCGGACGGGUGAGUAAUGUCUGGGAAACUGCCUGAUGGAGGGGGAUAACUACUGGAAACGGUGGCUAAUACCGCAUAACGUCGCAAGACCAAAGAGGGGGACCUUCGGGCCUCUUGCCAUCAGAUGUGCCCAGAUGGGAUUAGCUAGUUGGUGAGGUAACGGCUCACCAAGGCGACGAUCCCUAGCUGGUCUGAGAGGAUGACCAGCCACACUGGAACUGAGACACGGUCCAGACUCCUACGGGAGGCAGCAGUGGGGAAUAUUGCACAAUGGGCGCAAGCCUGAUGCAGCCAUGCCGCGUGUAUGAAGAAGGCCUUCGGGUUGUAAAGUACUUUCAGCGGGGAGGAAGGUGUUGUGGUUAAUAACCACAGCAAUUGACGUUACCCGCAGAAGAAGCACCGGCUAACUCCGUGCCAGCAGCCGCGGUAAUACGGAGGGUGCAAGCGUUAAUCGGAAUUACUGGGCGUAAAGCGCACGCAGGCGGUCUGUCAAGUCGGAUGUGAAAUCCCCGGGCUCAACCUGGGAACUGCAUUCGAAACUGGCAGGCUUGAGUCUUGUAGAGGGGGGUAGAAUUCCAGGUGUAGCGGUGAAAUGCGUAGAGAUCUGGAGGAAUACCGGUGGCGAAGGCGACCCCCUGGACAAAGACUGACGCUCAGGUGCGAAAGCGUGGGGAGCAAACAGGAUUAGAUACCCUGGUAGUCCACGCCGUAAACGAUGUCUACUUGGAGGUUGUGCCCUUGAGGCGUGGCUUCCGGAGCUAACGCGUUAAGUAGACCGCCUGGGGAGUACGGCCGCAAGGUUAAAACUCAAAUGAAUUGACGGGGGCCCGCACAAGCGGUGGAGCAUGUGGUUUAAUUCGAUGCAACGCGAAGAACCUUACCUGGUCUUGACAUCCACAGAACUUUCCAGAGAUGGAUUGGUGCCUUCGGGAACUGUGAGACAGGUGCUGCAUGGCUGUCGUCAGCUCGUGUUGUGAAAUGUUGGGUUAAGUCCCGCAACGAGCGCAACCCUUAUCCUUUGUUGCCAGCGGUCCGG